GUGACAGUCUGCUCGCGCAGGUACUCAGAGUUCCUCAGAUACGACAUGGUUUGCGGGCCUGCGGCGGGCACCCCCUCACAGGGGCAGGGGGCUCCGCCCUGGAGCCGCCCGCCGAGGCAACGUGUGGUAGGUUCGCGACGGUCUGGGCCGGGCAGUCGGCAAUGAUCCCUCCGCUGGUUCACCAACGGAGA
rnacentral:misc_RNA from 1 species